rnacentral:rRNA from 1 species
GAGUUUGAUCCUGGCUCAGGAUGAACGCUGGCGGCGUGCUUAACACAUGCAAGUCGAGCGAAGCAUUUAGGAUGAUCUCUUCGGAUUGAGUCUUAUAUGACUGAGCGGCGGACGGGUGAGUAACGCGUGGGUAACCUGCCUCAUACAGGGGGAUAACAGUUAGAAAUGACUGCUAAUACCGCAUAAGCGCACAGGGCUGCAUGGCCUGGUGUGAAAAACUCCGGUGGUAUGAGAUGGACCCGCGUCUGAUUAGCUAGUUGGAGGGGUAACGGCCCACCAAGGCGACGAUCAGUAGCCGGCCUGAGAGGGUGAACGGCCACAUUGGGACUGAGACACGGCCCAGACUCCUACGGGAGGCAGCAGUGGGGAAUAUUGCACAAUGGGGGAAACCCUGAUGCAGCGACGCCGCGUGAAGGAAGAAGUAUCUCGGUACGUAAACUUCUAUCAGCAGGGAAGAAAAUGACGGUACCUGACUAAGAAGCCCCGGCUAACUACGUGCCAGCAGCCGCGGUA